UGUGCAAAACCCUCCUCGUCUAGCCUUUCCUCUCUACUCCUCAUCACCGCCGCUGCCGCCGCCGGUCGCACGCCUCCUCCCACCGUCGGCGCGAGAAGAUGCUCGACAUCAACCUCUUCCGCACGGAGAAGGGCGGCGACCCGGAGCUGAUCCGCAAGUCGCAGCGCAACCGCUCCGCCUCCGUCGAGCUCGUCGACGAGGUCAUCGCCCUCGACGACCAGUGGCGCCAGAGGCAGUUCGAGCUCGACAAAAUCCGGCAGGAGCUCAACAAAACCAGCAAGGAAAUCGGCAAGCUCAAGGCUAAAAAGGAGGAUGCAUCGGCUCUGAUUCAGAGCACGGAAGAAAUUAAGAAGAGGUUGGCUGCCAAGGAGACGGAGGUGCAGGAGGCCAAAGGCACGCUGGAUGCCAAACUCGUGACGAUCGGAAACAUUGUGCACGAAUCCGUCCCUGUCAGCGAUGAUGAGGCAAACAAUUUAAUUGUACGGACAUGGGGAGAGAAGAGGAUGGAAGGGAAUUUGAAGAAUCACGUGGAUCUUUGCAAGAUGCUUGACAUUGUAGCUUUGGAGAAAGGUGUUGAUGUAGCAGGUGGAAGGGGUUACUAUUUAAAGGAUGAAGGUGUGCUACUGAACUUGGCAUUGAUAAAUUUUGGACUUGCUUUUCUGAGAAAGCGAGGCUUCAAGCCAAUGCAAACUCCUUUUUUCAUGAGAAAGGAAACCAUGGGAAAAUGUGCCCAGUUGGCCCAAUUCGACGAAGAGCUUUACAAGCUAACAGGCGAUGGAGAGGAAAAGUAUCUCAUAGCUACAUCUGAGCAACCGUUGUGUGCGUAUCAUCUUGGUGAUCGAAUUUAUCCUGCUGAAUUGCCAAUUAGAUAUGCUGGAUAUUCCACCUGUUUCCGGAAAGAAGCUGGUUCACAUGGGAGGGACACGGCUGGUAUCUUCAGAGUCCACCAAUUUGAAAAGAUCGAACAAUUCUGUGUCACAAGUCCAAAUGACAAUGAAUCUUGGGAGAUGCAUGAAGAAAUGAUUAAAAAUUCAGAAGAUUUCUACAAGGAGAUUGGCCUACCGUAUCAACUUGUCUCCAUCGUGUCUGGUGCUCUUAAUGAUGCUGCAGCUAAGAAGUAUGAUUUAGAAGCAUGGUUCCCUGCAUCAAAAACCUACAGGGAAUUAGUGUCCUGCUCAAAUUGCACAGAUUUUCAAGCAAGGAGACUUGGUAUAGGUUAUGGCCAGAAAAAGAAUGACGAACAAUCCAAGCAAUUUGUUCAUAUGUUGAACUCAACAUUGACUGCCACUGAGAGGACCCUUUGCUGUAUUUUGGAGAACUUCCAGAGGGAGAAUGGUGUUGAAGUUCCAAAAGCAUUGCAACCUUACAUGGGUGGAAUCGAUUUCCUUCCUUUCAAGCUGGAUAGCAAACAAGUUGCUCAACUCCAAAUCAAAUAAGACAGUCAAAGGUCUCUACCUCUAACAAUCCCCUUUCUCUAACAUGUGCGUUUUCUUUUUCAUUUGGGUAUAAUCUUGACAGGGAAAUGCUAUCUGAGCUAGAUGAGGAAUCAACAAAGAUUUCUUGCUUUCAGACACUACUGGAUAUUAUUCAUACUUAUAGCAAUGAUCAUGAUGUUACAGUUUUGACUCUCAUUUUGGUGUCUUGAUUAGCCCAUUGUCUGACCAUGUACUGGCACAGUGAUAUUGCAUAGAAUGUCUGGCAAUCUUGGAUAUCUGCGUUUUGUUUACCGUAAAAGAUGUAUUCAUUUUCAAGGCCUUUCGUGCCUAUACUAAUUUGUGGCAUACAGUGACGCUAUUACUACUUGUCUGAAUAUUUGUUAUAAUCGGCUUGUUAUGGCCAAUAAAGUUUUAUUCUCGUCU